UACGUAGGGGGCAAGCGUUGUCCGGAUUUAUUGGGCGUAAAGAGCUCGUAGGCGGUUUGGUAAGUCGGAUGUGAAAUCUCCAGGCUCAACCUGGAGGGGUCAUUCGAUACUGCCAUGACUAGAGUUCGGUAGGGGAGUGUGGAAUUCCUGGUGGAGCGGUGAAAUGCGCAGAGAUCAGGAGGAACACCCGUAGCGAAGGCGGCACUCUGGGCCGAUACUGACGCUGAGGAGCGAAAGCGUGGGGAGCGAACAGG
rnacentral:rRNA from 2 species